rnacentral:rRNA from 1 species
GAUUAGUGGCGAACGGGUGAGUAACACGUGGGCAAUCUGCCCUGCACUCUGGGAUAAGCCCGGGAAACUGGGUCUAAUACCGGAUACGACACUCCGAGGCAUCUUGGGGUGUGGAAAGUUCCGGCGGUGCAGGAUGAGCCCGCGGCCUAUCAGCUUGUUGGUGGGGUAAUGGCCUACCAAGGCGACGACGGGUAGCCGGCCUGAGAGGGUGACCGGCCACACUGGGACUGAGACACGGCCCAGACUCCUACGGGAGGCAGCAGUGGGGAAUAUUGCACAAUGGGCGAAAGCCUGAUGCAGCGACGCCGCGUGAGGGAUGACGGCCUUCGGGUUGUAAACCUCUUUCAGCAGGGAAGAAGCGAAAGUGACGGUACCUGCAGAAGAAGCACCGGCUAACUACGUGCCAGCAGCCGCGGUAAUACGUAGGGUGCGAGCGUUGUCCGGAAUUAUUGGGCGUAAAGAGCUCGUAGGCGGUUUGUCGCGUCGAUUGUGAAAGCCCGGGGCUUAACCCUGGGUCUGCAGUCGAUACGGGCAGGCUAGAGUUCGGCAGGGGAGACUGGAAUUCCUGGUGUAGCGGUGAAAUGCGCAGAUAUCAGGAGG